UACGGGGGGGGGCAAGCGUUGUUCGGAAUUACUGGGCGUAAAGGGCUCGUAGGCGGCCAACUAAGUCAUACGUGAAAUCCCUCGGCUUAACCGGGGAACUGCGUCUGAUACUGGAUGGCUUGAGUUCGGGGAGAGGGAUGCGGAAUUCCAGGUGUAGCGGUGAAAUGCGUAGAUAUCUGGAGGAACACCGGUGGCGAAGGCGGCAUCCUGGACCGAUACUGACGCUGAGGAGCGAAAGCCAGGGGAGCAAACGGG
rnacentral:rRNA from 1 species